AGCAUAGUAGCUUAGUGGUUAAGAUGUUGGCCUUCUGAUCAGAAGGUCAUGAGUUCAAAUCCCAGCACUGCUG